AGAAGGGAGAGCUUAAAGGCACAGGGCCCUCUUAUCCCUUUAAAAUCUGAUCAGAGAUCUGCCCUCCCCUACUCCACUCUGUACCACUCAUAAUUUUAGAUGGGGAUGGGGGCUUAAGAGUGGACCCAACUCAACCCACCCUGCAAUAAACCCAACCUCUUCUUUCUGCUUCUUGGUUGUGAAUGAGGAGAAAGACCUCCCAGUUCAAGUGUAAACAACUUACUGUGGUGGUGGAAUCAAAAGCCAAGGUGCAGGAAAAACAGAACCAAAUUCUUCACCCAAAAGCAGCCUGUUCGGGCAGAUUGGGAAGGAACACCUGCCCUGAUCCCUGAUGUCCGUGGAAGAGGAUCCAGCUGGGGGUGGGGAUGCUGUUUACCAAUACAGAGCAGCUGGCAACUUCAAGUGUGGGCCUUUCAGACCGGCAUCAUCAGUGUUACGGGGAAGUCACUAGAAAUGCAGAAUUGAUUGGGCACGGUGGCUCACACCUGUAAUCCCAACACUCUGGGAGGCCAAGGCGGGUGGAUCACUUGUGGUCAGGAGUUUGAGACCAGCCUGGCCAACAUGGUGAAACCUCAUCUCUACUAAAAAUGCAAAAAUUAGCUGGGAAUGGUGGCACAUGCCUAUAAUCCCAGUUACUCAGGAGGCUGAGGCAGGAGAAUCGUUUGAACCUGGGAGGCAGAGGUUGCAGUGAGCCGAGAUCACGCCACUGCACUCCAGCCUGGGUGACACAGCGAGACUCUGUCUCAAAAAAAAAAAAAAAUGCAGAAUUUCAGGCUUCACCCCAGACCCACUGCAUGACUGCAUGAGAAGCUGCAUCUUAACAAGAUCCCUGGUAAUUCAUACGCAUAUUAAAUUUGGAGAUGCACUGGCGUAAGACCCUCCUACUCUCUGCUUAGGCCCAUGAGUUCUUCCUUUACUGUCAUUCUCCACUCACCCCAAACUUUGAGCCUACCCUUCCCACCUUGGCGGUAAGGACACAACCUCCCUCACAUUCCUACCAGGACCCUAAGCUUCCCUGGGACUGAGGAAGAUAGAAUAGUUCGUGGAGCAAACAGAUAUACAGCAACAGUCUCUGUACAGCUCUCAGGCUUCUGGAAGUUCUACAGCCUCUCCCGACAAAGUAUUCCACUUUCCACAAGUAACUCUAUGUGUCUGAGUCUCAGUUUCCACUUUUCUCUCUCUCUCUCUCUCUCAAUUUUCUG
rnacentral:lncRNA from 1 species